CACCAAAAACAAUAAGUUGAGCUAGUAAGCUCUUCCAUACUAUCAUGGAGAGUUUGAUCCUGGCUCAGGACGAACGCUGGCGGCGUGCUUAACACAUGCAAGUCGAACGAGAAGAGAUGAGAAGCUUGCUUCUUAUCAAUUCGAGUGGCAAACGGGUGAGUAACGCGUAAGCAACCUGCCCUUCAGAUGGGGACAACAGCUGGAAACGGCUGCUAAUACCGAAUACGUUCUUUCCGCCGCAUGACGGGAUGAAGAAAGGGAGGCCUUCGGGCUUUCGCUGGAGGAGGGGCUUGCGUCUGAUUAGCUAGUUGGAGGGGUAACGGCCCACCAAGGCGACGAUCAGUAGCCGGUCUGAGAGGAUGAACGGCCACAUUGGGACUGAGACACGGCCCAGACUCCUACGGGAGGCAGCAGUGGGGAAUCUUCCGCAAUGGACGAAAGUCUGACGGAGCAACGCCGCGUGAACGAUGACGGCCUUCGGGUUGUAAAGUUCUGUUAUAUGGGACGAACAGGAUAGCGGU
rnacentral:rRNA from 1 species